AUUCCCCUCUCCUCCUAAUCUGGCUCGCCAACGGUGGUCCCUGCCUCUACACUGUUUCUUAUCUCUCUCUUCUCUGAUUUACCGGCGGUCACGGACUCAGUCUCUUUUGUGUAUCUUCGUCGUCUCCGUUUCCAUACUCUUUUGCAGCCGCUCGCCGGCACUUGCAGGAGUGCAUAUCUUUUUAGGUUUUGUGAGUUUUUGAGGUGCAAAUGCCGAAGAAGAGUAGUAAGAAACCCUCCCAAUCAGAAGAAAAAUCAACUGUGGGACAAGCCAAACCGGUUCCAAAGACUGGUAAUAAGCUAGGCAAGGAGAUCGACGAAAUCUUUGGCGGAAAAAAGAGGAAAAAGCCAGAACUCGACGAGGGCAAGAAGAAAACGGAUAGAGGCACGAAGGAAUCGACAACAGAAGAAAACAGGAUGAAGAAAACCAAGAAGAAGAGGAGGGAAGGAGAGAACCUCGGUGGGUUCGGUGACCGACCAGCCCGGACAAGGAAGAGAACGGAAGAUGGGUUAGCAAUAUACACGGAAGACGAACUCAGUUUCAACAAGGCUAAUGCCGGCGGUACUCCUCUUUGUCCCUUUGACUGUGAUUGUUGCUUCUAGGUCGCAAAGUUUUGAACUUUGAUAUACCAUUCAUAGCUACGAUAGUUAAUGUGGUACCCCGAAAAAAAUAGAUGAAUGAUCUUUCGUUGCCACAUUUGAUCCUGUCAUUGCAGUUCCUGUCUGAAAGUUUUGGUUCCUCAA